rnacentral:rRNA from 1 species
UACGUAGGGUCCGAGCGUUGUCCGGAAUUAUUGGGCGUAAAGGGCUCGUAGGCGGUUCGUCACGUCGGGAGUGAAAACUCGGGGCUUAACCCCGAGCCUGCUUCCGAUACGGGCAGACUAGAGGUAGGCAGGGGAGAGCGGAACUCCUGGUGUAGCGGUGGAAUGCGCAGAUAUCAGGAGGAACACCGGUGGCGAAGGCGGUUCUCUGGGAAUAUCCUGACGCUGAGGAGCGAAAGUGUGGGGAGCGAACAGG